rnacentral:rRNA from 1 species
AUUGAACGCUGGCGGCAUGCCUUACACAUGCAAGUCGAACGGUAACAGGUCUUCGGAUGCUGACGAGUGGCGAACGGGUGAGUAAUACAUCGGAACGUGCCCGAGAGUGGGGGAUAACGAGGCGAAAGCUUUGCAAAUACCGCAUACGAUCUCAGGAUGAAAGCAGGGGACCGCAAGGCCUUGCGCUCACGGAGCGGCCGAUGGCAGAUUAGGUAGUUGGUGGGAUAAAAGCUUACCAAGCCGACGAUCUGUAGCUGGUCUGAGAGGACGACCAGCCACACUGGGACUGAGACACGGCCCCGACGCCUACUGGAGGCAGCAGUGGGGAAUUUUGGACAAUGGGCGCAAGCCUGAUCCAGCCAUGCCGCGUGCAGGAUGAAGGCCUUCGGGUUGUAAACUGCUUUUGUACGGAACGAAAAGACUCUGGUUAAUACCUGGGGUCCAUGACGGUACCGUAAGAAUAAGCACCGGCUAACUUCGUGCCAGCAGCCGCCGUAAUAC